CUAGGGGUCCUGCCUUCCACGGAAACAACAGAAUAGGCCGCCUAAGCGACUGGUGCCAGCCUCCCCCAGCGAAGGGAAGAUGGGGACUUCCAAAAACAGGGCAUCCUGAGUCACCCCUCCGAUAUCGCUGCAUUUCCAAGCAUCCGAAGGCUGCCUUUGAACCUUUGAGGGGAGCACAGGCAGAGCAGGAGGUGCAGGGGGACCCCAGGGGCCACCCGACCUGUGAUGAAGGCGUGGGAAGCGCCUGUCGGAGGAGGCUCGGGGACCUGCUCAUCUCAGGGUCGCCCAUCUGCUGCCAUCACCGCAGAACCCAGAGUGUGGCGCCGGGUCUCCACCUCCAUCCUCAUCCUCCAACUCUUCGUCACUCAGCCCCACGCAGAAUGACCGGGCCACUCCUGCUCUCCGUAGCCUUCAGUGGCUCCCUGUUGCCACCGUUCACUGUUGUGAAGCUCUAAGGCAUGGGCUUCAGGCGUCGGAUCCUGGCUCAGUGGAUGUCUUAGCUGAGAGCCCUGGACGAGUUUCUUAGCCUCUUUGUGCCUUGGUUUCCUCCGUAAACCGCGUAACUGCUGGCCAGCCAGGCGCAGUGCUGGGGCUCCGGCGGGGUUGCUGACAGCUGCUGCGGGGAGAGCGGUGGCUGGCCCGCCAUCUGUUGCUGCCUUGUCUCUGGGGUGGCACCUCCUUCCGGCUCCAGCACUUUAUUUAUGGCCGACCAGAGGGCCUUGCUAAAUCCUUUCUGGACUUGGCUCCAUCUGUCAGCCUCUCCUGACUGCGCUGAUCACGGCCUCAUCGCUCUCCUGUCCUCCCGCCGCCCCGCCUGCCUUUUCCAGCCUUUCCGGGGAGGGCGGGGCGCACGACGGGAAGGGAAGUCAUUUUUAUUAAUGGUUGUGAUGACAGUGACUUCUUCAGCACUCACUGCACAUCUUUUAUGCAUCAUCCGUUUCACCCCCCAACAGUUCUACAAGGAGGGCACAAGGGCACCCAUCCCCAUUUACAGUGCAGGAACAGAGAGGCUGAGAGGGCCACCUGAUGUCACACAGCGGGGAGUCAGCGGAGGGCUGGGAUGUGAACCCAGGCAGCCUGGCUCUGGAGUCUGUGUUCCUCAGCCUCCACCUUGCUGCUUGGCCACUGUGUUAUUACCAGAUAGGG
rnacentral:lncRNA from 1 species